GCCGGAGUGGCUAUCUGUUUUGCAGUUGAUUCAAAGCAUUACAGUAGCUUGCCAGGCAAGCGAACGACCGUAGAAAUACGUGCCGGUUCGAGUCCGGCCUUCGGCACCA
rnacentral:tRNA from 1 species